rnacentral:rRNA from 1 species
AGAGUUUGAUCAUGGCUCAGAACGAACGCUGGCGGCGCGCCUAAUACAUGCAAGUCGAGCGAGAAAGUGUAGCAAUACACUUGUAAAGCGGCGAACGGGUGAGGAAUACAUGGGUAAUCUACCAUCGAGUGGGGAAUAACCAACCGAAAGGUUGGCUAAUACCGCGUACGCCUCCGAGUCUUCGGGUUCGGAGGGAAAGCUGCACUGUGAGUGUAGCGCUCUUUGAUGAGCUCAUGUCCUAUCAGCUUGUUGGUAGGGUAAUGGCCUACCAAGGCUUUGACGGGUAGCUGGUCUGAGAGGACGAUCAGCCACACUGGCACUGCGACACGGGCCAGACUCCUACGGGAGGCAGCAGUAAGGAAUAUUGCGCAAUGGGCGAAAGCCUGACGCAGCGACGCCGCGUGGGGGAUGAAGGUCUUCGGAUUGUAAACCCCUUUCGGGAGGGAAGAUGGAGCGAGCAAUCGUUCGGACGGUACCUCCAGAAGCAGCCACGGCCAACUUCGUGCCAGCAGCCGCGGUAAUACGAAGGUGGCAAGCGUUGUUCGGAUUCACUGGGCGUACAGGGUGUGUAGGCGGUUUGGUAAGCCUUCUGUUAAAGCUUCGGGCCCAACCCGGAAAGCGCAGAGGGUACUGCCAGGCUAGAGGGUGGGAGAGGAGCGCGGAAUUCCCGGUGUAGCGGUGAAAUGCGUAGAGAUCGGGAGGAAGGCCGGUGGCGAUGGCGGCGCUCUGGAACAUACCUGACGCUGAGACACGAAAGCGUGGGGAGCAAACAGGAUUAGAUACCCUGGUAGUCCACGCCC